GAGAAGAGGACGACGCCCCCGAACACCAGGAUGCUGACCGCCAGCAAAGCCCCCAGCCCGCGUUUUACAGAUGAGGCAGCCGGGCCCCGCUGGAACCUGAGCGCCCAGAAGGCAGGGGUUCUGCCUGCUUCACGCUGUCUCGCCAGGGCGUGAUGUGUAGCUGGUGCUCAGGAAACAUUUGUUGAGGGACGCGGGUCCGAGCCCUGGUCCGGGAAGAUCCCACACGCCGCGGAGCAACUAAGCCCGUGCGCCACAACUACUGAGCCCGCGAGCCACAGCUACUGAAGCCCACGUGCCUAGAGCCCGUGCUCCGCAACAAGAGAAGCCACCGCGAUGAGAAGCCCGCGCACCGCAACGAAGAGUAGCCCCCGCUCGCUGCAACUAGAGAAGGCCUGCGCGCAGCAACGAAGACCCAACG